GAUGAACGCUGGCUACAGGCUUAACACAUGCCAGUCGAGGGGAAACGACGGGGAAGCUUGCUUCCCCGGGCGUCGACCGGCGCACGGGUGAGUAACGCGUAUCCAACCUGCCUCUGACUGAGGGAUAACCCGUCGAAAGUCGGCCUAAUACCUCAUGGUAUCGUCUGCGGGCAUCCAACGACGAUUAAAGAUUUCAUCGGUCAGGGAUGGGGAUGCGUCUGAUUAGCUUGUUGGCGGGGUAACGGCCCACCAAGGCUACGAUCAGUAGGGGUUCUGAGAGGAAGGUCCCCCACAUUGGAACUGAGACACGGUCCAAACACCGACGGGAGGCAGCAGUGAGGAAUAUUGGUCAAUGGGCGAGAGCCUGAACCAGCCAAGUAGCGGGCAGGAAGACGGCCCUAUGGGUUGUAAACUGCUUUUAUGCGGGGAUAAAGUGGGGGACGUGUCCCUCAUUGCAGGUACCGCAUGAAUAAGGACCGGCUAAUUCCGU
rnacentral:rRNA from 1 species